rnacentral:tRNA from 1 species
CAAGCUGUAGUUUAUAAAAUAUUAAGUUGCAAGCUUAAAGAUGAGGAGUUCUCCAGUUUGA